rnacentral:rRNA from 1 species
GACGAACGCUGGCGGCGUGCUUAACACAUGCAAGUCGAACGGAAAGGCCCUGCUUUUGUGGGGUGCUCGAGUGGCGAACGGGUGAGUAACACGUGAGUAACCUGCCCUUGACUUUGGGAUAACUUCAGGAAACUGGGGCUAAUACCGGAUAGGAGCUCCUGCUGCAUGGUGGGGGUUGGAGAGUUUCGGCGGUUGGGGAUGGACUCGCGGCUUAUCAGCUUGUUGGUGGGGUAGUGGCUUACCAAGGCUUUGACGGGUAGCCGGCCUGAGAGGGUGACCGGCCACAUUGGGACUGAGAUACGGCCCAGACUCCUACGGGAGGCAGCAGUGGGGAAUAUUGCACAAUGGGCGGAAGCCUGAUGCAGCAACGCCGCGUGCGGGAUGACGGCCUUCGGGUUGUAAACCGCUUUCGCCUGUGACGAAGCGUGAGUGACGGUAAUGGGUAAAGAAGCACCGGCUAACUACGUGCCAGCAGCCGCGGUGAUACGUAGGGUGCGAGCGUUGUCCGGAUUUAUUGGGCGUAAAGGGCUCGUAGGUGGUUGAUCGCGUCGGAAGUGUAAUCUUGGGGCUUAACCCUGAGCGUGCUUUCGAUACGGGUUGACUUGAGGAAGGUAGGGGAGAAUGGAAUUCCUGGUGGAGCGGUGGAAUGCGCAGAUAUCAGGAGGAACACCAGUGGCGAAGGCGGUUCUCUGGGCCUUUCCUGACGCUGAGGAGCGAAAGCGUGGGGAGCGAACAGGCUUAGAUACCCUGGUAGUCCACGCUGUAAACGGUGGGUACUAGGUGUGGGGUCCAUUCCACGGGUUCCGUGCCGUAGCUAACGCUUUAAGUACCCCGCCUGGGGAGUACGGCCGCAAGGCUAAAACUCAAAGGAAUUGACGGGGCCCCGCACAAGCGGCGGAGCAUGCGGAUUAAUUCGAUGCAACGCGUAGAACCUUACCUGGGUUUGACAUGGAUCGGGAGUGCUCAGAGAUGGGUGUGCCUCUUUUGGGGUCGGUUCACAGGUGGUGCAUGGCUGUCGUCAGCUCGUGUCGUGAGAUGUUGGGUUAAGUCCCGCAACGAGCGCAACCCUUGUUCACUGUUGCCAGCACGUUAUGGUGGGGACUCAGUGGAGACCGCCGGGGUCAACUCGGAGGAAGGUGGGGAUGACGUCAAGUCAUCAUGCCCCUUAUGUCCAGGGCUUCACGCAUGCUACAAUGGCUGGUACAGAGAGUGGCGAGCCUGUGAGGGUGAGCGAAUCUCGGAAAGCCGGUCUCAGCUCGAAUUGGGGUCUGCAACUCGACCUCAUGAAGUCGGAGUCGCUAGUAAUCGCAGAUCAGCAACGCUGCGGUGAAUACGUUCCCGGG